rnacentral:rRNA from 1 species
AUAGGGGAGCCGGAGGGAAACCGAGUCUUAAUUGGGCGUUAAGUUGCAGGGUAUAGACCCGAAACCCGGUGAUCUAGCCAUGGGCAGGUUGAAGGUUGGGUAACACUAACUGGAGGACCGAACCGACUAAUGUUGAAAAAUUAGCGGAUGACCUGUGGCUGGGGGUGAAAGGCCAAUCAAACCGGGAGAUAGCUGGUUCUCCCCGAAAGCUAUUUAGGUAGCGCCUCGUGAAUUCAUCUCCGGGGGUAGAGCACUGUUUCGGCUAGGGGGCCAUCCCGGCUUACCAACCCGAUGCAAACUGCGAAUACCGGAGAAUGUUAUCACGGGAGACACACGGCGGGUGCUAACGUCCGUCGUGAAGAGGGAAACAACCCAGACCGCCAGCUAAGGUCCCAAAGUCAUGGUUAAGUGGGAAACGAUGUGGGAAGGCCCAGACAGCCAGGAUGUUGGCUUAGAAGCAGCCAUCAUUUAAAGAAAGCGUAAUAGCUCACUGGUCGAGUCGGCCUGCGCGGAAGAUGUAACGGGGCUAAACCAUGCACCGAAGCUGCGGCAGCGAACGUAUCACUUAAAGCGAUUCAGCGGGUUACGAUUGACGGAGCGAAGCGACGUCAAAGCGUAUACAAAGUCGAGUCGGUUUAAGGAUACGUUCGUUGGGUAGGGGAGCGUUCUGUAAGCCUGUGAAGGUGGCCUGUGAGGGUUGCUGGAGGUAUCAGAAGUGCGAAUGCUGACAUAAGUAACGAUAAAGCGGGUGAAAAGCCCGCUCGCCGGAAGACCAAGGGUUCCUGUCCAACGUUAAUCGGGGCAGGGUGAGUCGACCCCUAAGGCGAGGCCGAAAGGCGUAGUCGAUGGGAAACGGGUUAAUAUUCCCGUACUUGGUGUUACUGCGAAGGGGGGACGGAGAAGGCUAUGUUGGCCGGGCGACGGUUGUCCCGGUUUAAGCGUGUAGGUGUGUGUUCCAGGUAAAUCCGGUUCACUUUAACACUGAGGCGUGACGACGAGGCACUACGGUGCUGAAGCAACAAAUGCCCUGCUUCCAGGAAAAGCCUCUAAGCAUCAGGUAACAUCAAAUCGUACCCCAAACCGACACAGGUGGUCAGGUAGAGAAUACCAAGGCGCUUGAGAGAACUCGGGUGAAGGAACUAGGCAAAAUGGUGCCGUAACUUCGGGAGAAGGCACGCUGACACGUAGGUGAAGUGAUUUACUCAUGGAGCUGAAGUCAGUCGAAGAUACCAGCUGGCUGCAACUGUUUAUUAAAAACACAGCACUGUGCAAACACGAAAGUGGACGUAUACGGUGUGACGCCUGCCCGGUGCCGGAAGGUUAAUUGAUGGGGUCAGCGCAAGCGAAGCUCCUGAUCGAAGCCCCGGUAAACGGCGGCCGUAACUAUAACGGUCCUAAGGUAGCGAAAUUCCUUGUCGGGUAAGUUCCGACCUGCACGAAUGGCGUAAUGAUGGCCAGGCUGUCUCCACCCGAGACUCAGUGAAAUUGAACUCGCUGUGAAGAUGCAGUGUACCCGCGGCAAGACGGAAAGACCCCGUGAACCUUUACUAUAGCUUGACACUGAACAUUGAGCCUUGAUGUGUAGGAUAGGUGGGAGGCUUUGAAGCGUGGACGCCAGUCUGCGUGGAGCCGACCUUGAAAUACCACCCUUUAAUGUUUGAUGUUCUAACGUGGACCCGUUACCCGGGUUGCGGACAGUGUCUGGUGGGUAGUUUGACUGGGGCGGUCUCCUCCUAAAGAGUAACGGAGGAGCACGAAGGUUGGCUAAUCCUGGUCGGACAUCAGGAGGUUAGUGCAAUGGCAUAAGCCAGCUUGACUGCGAGCGUGACGGCGCGAGCAGGUGCGAAAGCAGGUCAUAGUGAUCCGGUGGUUCUGAAUGGAAGGGCCAUCGCUCAACGGAUAAAAGGUACUCCGGGGAUAACAGGCUGAUACCGCCCAAGAGUUCAUAUCGACGGCGGUGUUUGGCACCUCGAUGUCGGCUCAUCACAUCCUGGGGCUGAAGUAGGUCCCAAGGGUAUGGCUGUUCGCCAUUUAAAGUGGUACGCGAGCUGGGUUUAGAACGUCGUGAGACAGUUCGGUCCCUAUCUGCCGUGGGCGCUGGAGAACUGAGGGGGGCUGCUCCUAGUACGAGAGGACCGGAGUGGACGCAUCACUGGUGUUCGGGUUGUCAUGCCAAUGGCACUGCCCGGUAGCUAAAUGCGGAAGAGAUAAGUGCUGAAAGCAUCUAAGCACGAAACUUGCCCCGA